AUCAAAUAUCUGACAACAGGAAUGAUUCAGUCAAAAAAUAAAUGAAUAAAUAAACAUUUUAAUGUUGAGGAGAAUAAAAAACCUAUUCUUAAUAAUUUAUAUCUAAUAAUGACUGACUAUUUUAUACCGCAGUUUUUCCUCCAGCGUUAGGAUCUUUAAACAGCGGCAGCAGGCCCACACCCACACCGGCCCGGAGCCCUCCUCCCCCGGCCGCGCUGCGCUCUGCAGCCCCGGGAGAGUGGAGGGCUGACGGAAACAAUGGAGAAAUGGAAGUGAUGCCCUGAUGCAAGCCACCUCCUGAUGCUAGUGUUAAACUUCACAAACUUCUCAACGUUUUA
rnacentral:lncRNA from 1 species